UGACCUCGGAUCAGGUAGGAGUC
rnacentral:rRNA from 1 species